UACGGAGGGCGCAAGCGUUGUUCGGAAUUACUGGGCGUAAAGCGCGUGUAGGCGGCUUGGCAAGUCGGCUGUGAAAGCCCGGGGCUCAACCCCGGAGGGUCAGCCGAAACUGCCUCGCUCGAGUCCCGGAGAGGGUGGCGGAAUUUCCGGUGUAGAGGUGAAAUUCGUAGAUAUCGGAAGGAACACCAGUGGCGAAGGCGGCCACCUGGACGGUGACUGACGAUGAGACGCGAAAGCGUGGGGAGCAAACAGG
rnacentral:rRNA from 1 species